rnacentral:rRNA from 1 species
UACAGAGGUCUCAAGCGUUGUUCGGAUUCAUUGGGCGUAAAGGGUGCGUAGGCGGCAGUGUAAGUCAGGUGUGAAAUCCCGGGGCUCAACCCCGGAACUGCACUUGAUACUGCACUGCUAGAGUACUGGAGAGGAGACUGGAAUUUACGGUGUAGCAGUGAAAUGCGUAGAUAUCGUAAGGAAGACCAGUGGCGAAGGCGAGUCUCUGGACAGUUACUGACGCUGAGGCACGAAGGCCAGGGGAGCAAAC